GAUGAACGCUAGCGGCAGGCUUAAUACAUGCAAGUCGUGGGGCAGCAUGAGUGUAGCAAUACAUUUGAUGGCGACCGGCAAACGGGUGCGGAACACGUACACAACCUUCCUAUAAGUGGGGAAUAGCCCAGAGAAAUUUGGAUUAAUACCCCGUAACAUAACGAUGUGGCAUCACAUUGUUAUUAUAGCUUCGGCGCUUAUUGAUGGGUGUGCGGCUGAUUAGAUAGUUGGCGGGGUAACGGCCCACCAAGUCUACGAUCAGUAGCUGAUGUGAGAGCAUCAUCAGCCACACGGGCACGGAGACACGGGCCCGACCCCUACGGGAGGCAGCAGUAAGGAAUAUUGGUCAAUGGACGCAAGUUUGAACCAGCCAUGCCGCGUGAAGGAUUAAGGUCCUCUGGAUUGUAAACUUCUUUUAUCGGGGACGAAAAAAGGCUUUUCUAAGUCACUUGACGGUACCAGAUGAUUAAUCACCGGCUAACUCCGUGCCAGCCGCCGCGGUAAAAC
rnacentral:rRNA from 1 species